rnacentral:tRNA from 1 species
AUCCUAUUAGCUCAAUUGGUAGAGCCAUGUACAACUGCACAAUGAUAUAGGUUCGAAUCCUAUAUAGGCUA